UCUGAGGUGUUCCACUCUUCCACAACUGUUACAUCCAGUUCACUUGGGGAUGGAGUACUAUCAUCCAGUCUCUGCAUCACCUGGUUCCAGACGUGCUCUAUGGGGUUCAGGUCAGCAGGCCGUACCACAUGAGGCACUCCAACUUGCUGAAGUCCAGCUGGCACCAUGUGGUGGAGCACUAUCAUCCUUGAUGAUGUGUUCAAUGAUGUCUUUGAGGUAAGACUGGACCAUCCACAAAAAGGUGCCAAACUCCAGGUCUAUAGGGUCGACCCCCUGCUGGUUUUCCUGAAAUCCUGCUGUAUCUGCUGCUGAUUACCUGGAUCAGGUGUGUUUAGCCAAUAAGCAUCUUCAAUGGCAGGUUGGUUGAAAAAAAAAAAAGUAGGACGCUGGACCUCAAGGCCCAGAUUUGAAUCCUGAUCUACAAUAACCAAAUAAGUUAUGCGCUGACUGGUGAUACCUGCCCAGAGGGACCAAAGCCAAACCCUUUGGACCAUGUUGACCUUGGUGUAUCGCUCACCUCGCCUUCUACAGCAACACUAACGACCAUUUCUGUGCAGGGUGACUCAAUAAGUGAACUCAGACGAGACCCACAUUGGCUUCUUUGGGUUAUGAGGAGUUCAGCCAACAAGAAAUGUUAAAGGACCAGUCUCAACGUAAGAAAUGUGCACAAAACUACCUUAAUGUGGUUUUUCCUGAUCUGCAGGUUGCAGUGUAGUUUUGGGCGAUAGGGGGCGUACGUGCUACGAUUUUACGGAGCGUGACAACAGUUUCUAUUAUUAUCAAAAUCCACCUGAUUUAUCAAGGCUGUCUGAACUGCAGAACGUCAUCUAUGCUGCUGUCUGAAGACCCUUCCGCCUGUGAAUAUUUGUUUGUACUGUGCGUGGCCAUGACGACGGGACUGCUCACGACACUUCGGCAAACGAUUGAUUCCGACACCCUGUCGGGUGGCGCAUUCAAAUGUCACUCGGAAAAGUCACUAGUUUUGAAAAAAAAAAAACAUUUGGCACUUUUCUAAUGAAGUCUAUAUAAUAUGGUUUAUUUCAAUCAAUGAAAACAAAUUAAACAUAUUUGAUGUUGACGUGUCUGUAUAUAGUAGCUAGUUGAACAUUAAUCUAUUCUGAACUGUAAAUAUAAAAUGACCUGUAUAUAAAAUAUAAAAAUUAAGAACAUUA